GACGAACGCUGGCGGCGUGCUUAACACAUGCAAGUCGAACGGUAAGGCCCUUCGGGGUACACGAUUGGCGAACGGGUGAGUAACGCGUGAGUAACCUGCCCUUCACUCUGGGUUAACAGGUGGAAACGGCUGCUAAUACCGGGUAUUCAGCUCCUGUCGCAUGGUGGGGGUUGGAAAGGUUUGGUGGUGGAGGAUGGGCUCGCGGCCUAUCAGCUUGUUGGUGGGGUGAUGGCCUACCAAGGCCUCGACGGGUAGCCGGCCUGAGAGGGCGACCGGCCACAUUGGGACUGAGAUACGGCCCAGACGCCUACGGGAGGCAGCAGUGGGGAAUAUUGCACAAUGGGCGGAAGCCUGAUGCAGCAACGCCGCGUGCGGGAUGACGGCCUUCGGGUUGUAAACCGCUUUCAGCAGGGACGAAGCGCAAGUGACGGUACCUGCAGAAGAAGCACCGGCUAACUACGUG
rnacentral:rRNA from 1 species